rnacentral:lncRNA from 1 species
CCUCUCUCUAGGUUGUGAGUGUGAGUGUGAGUGUGUGUGUGUGUGUGUGUGUGUGUGUGUGCGUGUGUGUGUCUUUUUCUUGUUGUGGUGGAGGCGUCGAGCCAUAUGGGGGAGUGAUAGAGGAAUUUUAGUCAGAAACUGUUCGUUAUGUUACACUGGCUUUUCCCUUUGUGUUGUCUUUGAUCUAUUUGCUUGGCUUAGUAUUACAAAAAAAAAAAAAAAACCAAGAAAAAAAACCCCAACUAAAAUAAUAUAUUCCGAGCAGCUUCCCAAGGAUCCGUUUCUUGUUAUCUUUUUUUAAAGUCUCUCCCCCUCCACCACCACCCUUUACUCUUGUGUCUGUCAUUAUUUAAGGUGGUCCUCACAGAGGAGACCUCCCCUUCCCCUCAUCUCUGGGUAAUUUAGUAGACAUUAAAAUUACACGUAAUGUUUCCCUCUCCUCUCUUGUGUUUCCUCUGUUCUUUUUAUUAAAUGUUGGUUAUUGAUUUUCUAAAAUCAAUGUCUGUUGUGGGGCUUUUUUCCCCUUACAAGUAUCUAAAGCACGUUGCUGAUCAACUGGAUAACAAAAGCUUUGUGUCAAGUAGCCUUUUUUCUUAUGUUAAACAGUCAUUUUUGAGAGAAAAAGAGAAUGAGAUUUAAAGCAACGCAUCCAGAAGUGCUCUUUUGCAGUAAAGAAUAUUCUUAGUGUUUGAGGGGGUUUUAUUCUUCUUCCUCAGCCUCCUUGCUUUUCCAGGCAGGACUAUUAGUUUAGCGUGUUAAACCCAUCACAUGCUCUCUGAUGAGGGAUGCAUCUACGUGUUUAAUAUUUUCUCAGCGUGAUUUGAGCACUAAAAAAAACCCCACCACCACCACCACCCUUACCCCCCCCAAAAAAAAAAAAAAAUUUCCUGGAUGCCUCUGUUUGCCCAGGACACCAGGACCGUAUCCUGGUAGUGCAGCCAAGUCUUUGGGAGCACGUAUGGAGCGGGGUGGCAGAUUCUGGUUGUUUCCAUGCAUAAAGGUGUUUUCAGGGAGCUGCACUAACUUGGAAAAGCCACCACACUUGGGAGACGAAAGUUUAAUUGCGAUUUUUAAGGAUUUAUCUGGACUGAGUGGAUUUUUCUUCUUUCCUGGAAUCGUGGAAAAGAUGUUACUUCUGAGCUUGUGUCUUUGCUGAUAACACCAGGAACGGUGAUGCUUAUCGAACUCGGACAGAAAUUCCUUAGAAACGCAGCAGAACCAAAAUAAAAUUUAAAAGCCACGAAAAAGGAAAUAAAAA